rnacentral:misc_RNA from 1 species
GAAUAGAGUUUAUUAGUAAUUAUGAGCUACUUUGCAAAUAAGAAUGCGUGUAGAACAAAGGCCUCAAAGAGUGAAGGAAACUUUCAUCCGCUUAAUUUUAGUUUGUUUACCUUCUUUAGCAUGCACAAAACUUCAGAUUCUCAAACACCUUUCCCACCUUAUUCUCAAGUCUCAACACAUACCUGUGCAAGAAGAUGAACUAAAAUGGUUGCAUUGUUGCAGCAUCAGGUGGUUUUUCCUCUUACUCUUGCUUCCUUUGCUUAUCAAACAAAGAUGAACUAAAAUGGACCCAGAAGC